CUCAGAUUAUUACCCCUCUCUCCUGCGUCUUCAACUUUUUUUUCUUCUCUACAAUGGCCUUAGAACGCUGUCGUAGCAGAAGCAACUUGCUUUAGACAACAGUUUCU